rnacentral:rRNA from 1 species
UAGGGAAUCUUCCACAAUGGACGAAAGUCUGAUGGAGCAACGCCGCGUGAGUGAAGAAGAGUUUCGGCUCGUAAAACUCUGUUGUUAAAGAAGAACAUAUCUGAGAGUAACUGUUCAGGUAUUGACGGUAUUUAACCAGAAAGCCACGGCUAACUACGUGCCAC